AUGGGCACCGCCCGGCUGCGGUGGAGGCCAUUCGCGGCCUCCUCACCGGCGUCCUCCGCGUCCUCGUCGCCGUCCUCAUCGUUCACGACCACGGUGGACCCGCCGGCGGAGUUCCUCUGCCCCAUCUCCGGCACGCUCAUGGCGGACCCCGUCAUCGUGCCGCCGGGCCAGACCAUCGAGCGCGCCUGCAUCCAGGCCUGCGCCGCGCUGGCCUUCUACCCGCCCGCCGUCGCCGGCCUCCCGUCGUCUCCCCUCGUGCUCAUCCCCAACGUCGCGCUCCGCUCCGCCAUCCUCAACUGGUGCGAGCGCCUCGGCCUGCCCCACCCUUCCCCUCUCUCCCUCGACACCGCCGGCGACAUCGUCCGCCGCCUCAUGCCGCCGCGCCAGGAGCAGAGGUCGCAGGUGAACUACGAGCCGGCCCCGCAGCCACAGCCCUCCUCCGUCCGGACAAGAAACCGCUACAGCGUCGACUACAGCGCCCGCGACGACUUCGUGCAGGAGCCGAAGCCGCUGGAGGAGGAGAUCAUGGCCGUGCUCGGCGCGGACGGCGCCAGCCCCGCGGAGCAGAAGGCGACGAUGGCCUCUCUGCGGCAGGCGACGCGGGAGAGCAAAGAGAUGCGGACGCAGCUCUGCACGCCGCGGCUGCUCGCCGCGCUCCGGCCGAUGCUGCUGUCCGCUGACGCCGGCAUCCAGGUCAACGCGGCCGCGGUCAUGGUGAACCUGUCGCUCGAGGCGGAGAACAAGGUGCGGAUCGUGCGGUCCGGAGCGGUGUCGCCGCUCGUCGACGUGCUCCGGGUCGGCCACCCGGAGGCGCGCGACCACGCCGCCGGCGCGAUCUACAGCCUCGCGGUGGAGGACGAGAACCGCGCGGCCAUCGGCGUGCUGGGCGCGAUCCCGCCACUGCUGGAGCUGUUCUCGAGCGGCGGGGCCGGCCACCGCGCGCGCCGCGAGGCCGGCAUGGCGCUGUACCACGUCUCGGUCGCCGGGAUGAACCGGUCCAAGAUCGCGCGCACGCCGGGGGUGGUGCGGACGCUGCUGGCCACGGCGGAGGCGCGGGACCGCGGGAACGAAGCCUACGCCGACGCCGCGGCGCUGCGGAAGCUCGCUGUGAUGAUCCUGGCGAACCUCGCCGGGUGCCCGGAAGGGAGGGCCGCCCUGAUGGACGGCGGCGCGGUGGCGGCCAUCGUGGGGAUCAUGCGCAGCGGCUCGGCCGCGCCGGGCAGCGCGGAGGAGGAGUACUGCAUAUCGGCAUUGUACGGGAUGAGCCGGGGCAGCCUGAGGUUCCGCGGGCUCGCGCGCGCGGCGGGCGUCGAGGCGGCGCUGAUGCCGGUGGCCGAGAGCGACGGCGGGGUCGGGCGGGACAUGGCGCGGCGCACGCUCCGGGCGAUGCGCGGGGAGGACGACGAGGUGGCGCUGACGGCCUCCGGGAUACUCGGGAGGGAGUGGGACGACGCGAGCGUGGUGUCGGAGGGGAUGGUGUCGCUCCGGCGGCCGCCGCACCACCGGAGCAACUACGCCGGGCCGUCCGGGUCGAACACGACCCAGUUCUGA
rnacentral:rRNA from 1 species